AUACGGAGGAUCCGAGCGUUAUCCGGAUUUAUUGGGUUUAAAGGGUGCGCAGGCGGCCAUUUAAGUCAGCGGUUAAAUCGUGGGGCUCAACCCCAUUCUGCCGUUGAUACUGGGUGGCUUGAUUGCGGUCGAGGUUGGCGGAAUUCGUUGUGUAGCGGUGAAAUGCAUAGAUAUGACGAAGAACCCCGAUUGCGUAGGCAGCUGACCAGACCGCAAAUGACGCUCAUGCACGAAAGUGCGGGGAUCGAACAGGAUUAGAUACCCUGGUAGUCCGCACAGUAAACGAUGAAUACUUGUUUUCGGCGAUAUAAUGUCGGAGGCAAAGCGAAAGCGAUAAGUAUUCCACCUGGGGAGUACGCCGGCAACGGUGAAACUCAAAGGAAUUGACGGGG
rnacentral:rRNA from 1 species